UCCUGGCUCAGGAUGAACGCUAGCUACAGGCCUAACACAUGCAAGGUCGAGGGGUAACAGGGAGCUUGCUCCGCUGACGACCGGCGCACGGGUGAGUAACGCGUAUGCAACCUUCCCACAGGAUCGGGAUAGCCCUCCGAAAGGAGGAUUAACACCGGAUGUGGUAAUUUAGAGGCAUCUUUAGAUUACUAAAUGUGAAGCUUGUGGAUAGGCUCGCGUGACAUUAGCUAGAUGGCGGGGUAACGGCCCACCAUGGCGACGAUGUCUAGGGGUUCUGAGAGGAAGGUCCCCCACACUGGAACUGAGACACGGUCCAGACUCCUACGGGAGGCAGCAGUGAGGAAUAUUGGUCAAUGGUCUGACGACUGAACCAGCCAUGCCGCGUGAAGGUGACGGCCCUAUGGGUCUUAAACUUCUUUUGUAAGGGAGCAAUAAGGUGUACGUGUACAUCGAUGAGAGUACCUUACGAAUAAGCAUCGGCUAACUCCGUG
rnacentral:rRNA from 1 species